AUUGAACGCUGGCGGCAGGCUUAACACAUGCAAGUCGAGCGGAGAUGAGGUGCUUGCACCUUAUCUUAGCGGCGGACGGGUGAGUAAUGCUUAGGAAUCUGCCUAUUAGUGGGGGACAACAUUCCGAAAGGAAUGCUAAUACCGCAUACGUCCUACGGGAGAAAGCAGGGGAUCUUCGGACCUUGCGCUAAUAGAUGAGCCUAAGUCGGAUUAGCUAGUUGGCGGGGUAAAGGCCUACCAAGGCGACGCUCUGUAGCGGGUCUGUAGGGAUGAUCCGCCACACUGGAACUGAGACACGGCCCAGACUCCUACGGGGGGCGGCAGUGGGGAAUAUUGGACAAUGGGGGGAACCCUGAUCCAGCCAUGCCGCGUGUGUGAAGAAGGCCUUAUGGUUGUAAAGCACUUUAAGCGAGGAGGAGGCUACUGAGACUAAUACUCUUGGAUAGUGGACGUUACUCGCAGAAUAAGCACCGGCUAACUCUGUGCCAGCCGCCGCCGUAAGAC
rnacentral:rRNA from 1 species